ensembl:lncRNA
CACAACAGGAAUUUAUUCUCUUCCAGUUCCGGAGGUCAGAAGUCUGAAAUGGAGGGGUCAGCAGGGCUGGGCUGUUCCUGCAGACGGUAGGAGAGAAUCUCUCGUUGCCUCUUCCAGCUUCUGGCAGGCCUUCGCUUCCUGGCUGCAAACUCCAGUUUCUGCCUCUGCGGUCACUCUGCCUCCUCUUCCUCUCUCUUCUAAGGAAACUUUUCUUGGUUUUGGGCGGGAUCCUAGGGACCCCCAGAUAAUCCAGGAUGAUCUCCUAGUGAGACCCUUAACUUAUUUACAUCUGCAAAGAUCCUUUUUCCACACAAGCUCCCACUCACGGGUUCUGGGAGUUAGUGCACAUCUUUGGGGGGCCACCAGUCACCUCGCUAUGAAAGGAAUUCAUGUCUGCUCUUCCACUCUGCACAAAUAUUAGUUUUCCAUAUGUUUCUCCAACAAAUUCUGUACUUUGCUGAUGGUCAGGCGUCAUUAAAGUAGUCUCCAAUGGCUGUUUCGGGCUUACCCAAAUACUUUUGUCCUCCCCCCACCACAUCCAAACACACACACACAAAAUAACAUAUCUGCACACAGAUGGUUACACACUGUCCCCAGGUCCUUGUACAGAAAUGUGCGUGUGUGCCGCAGUCCUUCACUUGACACGUAUUUGUUGAGUGCUCACCAUGUGCUAGGCCCUGUGGAGGCACUGGAAACGCUGCAGUGAACGAGGCAGCAAGCCCACGCCUUGUUUACAUUCUGCUGAAAUAUUUACACGCACACACGAUGAUGUAUGUAGAUGCAGAGCCCGCAAGGUUUUUCCAUGCCUGGGGCUCCCAGAAGGACUGAAGUCAGCAAUUCCAGGCCACAGGCAGCAAGGGGAUGUGAAGGCCUUUAAUGCAAAUAAACCAAGUCACCAGGAAAGUCAUUUUUAAAACAACAAAUCCUUGAUUAAGUGAAACCCUUGUGGGCAAGGGUGAACUCCCCACCCGUUUCUGAAAGCGCAAAGCACUGUUAUGGAAGCGCUCGGAGUUCUUGGGUGAGAGAGGAGUCUGAGCAAAGGGACCAGCUGGGCCUUGAACAGCCAGCACAUGCUGGAUUUGAGGUCAGCCCCAAGGACAAGGCGUGCUGGGCCGCCUGGAGGGGAGACAGCGUGACCACAAGAGACAGCCAGGGCUCAGCCGUCAGCUAUGAUCUGCAGGAUCACGUGAACUGGAGGAUUGAUUAGAGGCAGCUGCAUUGCUGAGAAAAAAGAGUGACGCUCAGAG